GGGACCAUAGCUCAGUUUGGUGAGAGCGCUCGGUUUAUAACCGAGAGGUCUUGGGUUCAAAUCCCAAUGGUCCUA